CUGGCAAAAAAUAUGGCUCAAUGGCACCUACUAUAGCAUGUACGUCUGGUACAGGAAAACUGAGCAUUGGUUUUCUCAGAAGAAGAAAACAGAGAUGCGGGCUACGCUUUUCAAUAAAACUCAAUGGCCUAAGAUGAAUAUUUGGUACCCAGAACAAAAAGGACACGGGACGCCCUACGUGAUGCGAUUCUGGCA